rnacentral:rRNA from 1 species
UUUAUGGAGAGUUUGAUCCUGGCUCAGGAUGAACGCUGGCGGCGUGCCUAAUACAUGCAAGUCGAGCGAACGGACGAGAAGCUUGCUUCUCUGAUGUUAGCGGCGGACGGGUGAGUAACACGUGGAUAACCUACCUAUAAGACUGGGAUAACUUCGGGAAACCGGAGCUAAUACCGGAUAAUAUUUUGAACCGCAUGGUUCAAAAGUGAAAGACGGUCUUGCUGUCACUUAUAGAUGGAUCCGCGCUGCAUUAGCUAGUUGGUAAGGUAACGGCUUACCAAGGCAACGAUGCAUAGCCGACCUGAGAGGGUGAUCGGCCACACUGGAACUGAGACACGGUCCAGACUCCUACGGGAGGCAGCAGUAGGGAAUCUUCCGCAAUGGGCGAAAGCCUGACGGAGCAACGCCGCGUGAGUGAUGAAGGUCUUCGGAUCGUAAAACUCUGUUAUUAGGGAAGAACAUAUGUGUAAGUAACUGUGCACAUCUUGACGGUACCUAAUCAGAAAGCCACGGCUAACUACGUGCCAGCAGCCGCGGUAAUACGUAGGUGGCAAGCGUUAUCCGGAAUUAUUGGGCGUAAAGCGCGCGUAGGCGGUUUUUUAAGUCUGAUGUGAAAGCCCACGGCUCAACCGUGGAGGGUCAUUGGAAACUGGAAAACUUGAGUGCAGAAGAGGAAAGUGGAAUUCCAUGUGUAGCGGUGAAAUGCGCAGAGAUAUGGAGGAA